UAAUCCCAAUCCCGAUCCCAAAUUUUCUCUCUGAUCGCAACUGGCUUCUUCCUCUUUAUGUUUUCCUUAUAUCUCAAAACAAAUCUAGAUCCCAAACUCCAUUGCGUUUUUGAGAUAUAUCGCUUUCUCUUCACUUCUCGCUUUGGUUCUCAUUCAUGAUUCUCGUUGUUUCUAUCUCCAAAAGGUUAAUCGUUAACAUUUUUUCUUUUUUACUCAUCCUUUUCAAUUUUGAUCUGUAUUUUGAUUUGAGAAAUGAUAUUUGUGUUGGAUUUGAUCGUUGCUAGGUUUUUAGGUGCAAGUCUAUGGAAUUGAGUUUUUAUUUUAGUGGAUCGCUUCGAUGAAUUGAAGAAUUUCAUAUACCUAGCAAGAUUAAACCUCCUUUCAGAUUAGGAUUAAGAAGUUC
rnacentral:lncRNA from 1 species